UACGAAGGGGGCUAGCGUUGCUCGGAAUCACUGGGCGUAAAGGGUGCGUAGGCGGGUUUUUAAGUCAGAGGUGAAAUCCUGGAGCUCAACUCCAGAACUGCCUUUGAUACUGAAAGUCUUGAGUAUGGGAGAGGUGAGUGGAACUGCGAGUGUAGAGGUGAAAUUCGUAGAUAUUCGCAAGAACACCAGUGGCGAAGGCGGCCCACUGGUCCGGUACUGACGCUGAGGUGCGAAAGCGUGGGGAGCAAACAGG
rnacentral:rRNA from 1 species